UACGGAGGGUGCAAGCGUUAUCCGGAUUUACUGGGCUUAAAGGGAGCGCAGGCGGAUUAGUAAGUCAGUGGUGAAAGCCUUGAGCUUAACUCGAGAACUGCCAUUGAUACUAUUAGUCUUGAAUGUUGUUGAGGUUUGCGGAAUGGGUCAUGUAGCGGUGAAAUGCAUAGAUAUGACCCGGAACACCUAUUGCGAAGGCAGCAGGCUAAACAAAUAUUGACGCUGAGACUCGAAAGCGUGGGGAUCAAACAGG
rnacentral:rRNA from 1 species